UGCGGGCAGCUACACAUGCAAGUCGAGCGGAACGAUCCUAGCUUGCUAGGAGGCGUCGAGCGGCGGACGGGUGAGUAAUGCAUAGGAAUCUGCCCGGUAGUGGGGGAUAACUUGAGGAAACUCAAGCUAAUACCGCAUACGCCCUACGGGGGAAAGCAGGGGCUCUUCGGACCUUGCGCUAUCGGAUGAGCUUAUGUCGGAUUAGCUGGUUGGUGAGGUAACGGCUCACCAAGGCGACGAUCCGUAGCUGGUCUGAGAGGAUGAUCAGCCACAUCGGGACUGAGACACGGCCCGAACUCCUACGGGAGGCAGCAGUGGGGAAUAUUGGACAAUGGGGGCAACCCUGAUCCAGCCAUGCCGCGUGUGUGAAGAAGGCCCUCGGGUUGUAAAGCACUUUCAGCGAGGAAGAAUGCUUGUCGGUUAAUACCCGGCAAGGGAGACAUCACUCGCAGAAGAAGCACCGGCUAACUCCGUGCCAGCAGCCGCGGUAAUACGGAGGGUGCGAGCGUUAAUCGGAAUUACUGGGCGUAAAGCGUGCGUAGGCGGCUUGAUAAGCCGGUUGUGAAAGCCCCGGGCUCAACCUGGGAACGGCAUCCGGAACUGUUAG
rnacentral:rRNA from 1 species